rnacentral:misc_RNA from 1 species
AAAGAAUUGGAGUGACUAACCGUCCUCCGACUUCCAACCCUCUGUUGUUAUAACUACCUUGUUGCUUUGGCGGGACCGUUCGGUCCUCCGAGCGCACCAGUCUUCGGACAGGUGAGCGCCCGCCAGAGUCCAACCAAACUCUUGUUUUUAACCAGUCGUCUGAGUAUAAAAUUUUAAUUAAAUUA